rnacentral:rRNA from 1 species
AGUGGCAGACGGGUGAGUAAUGUAUAGGAAUCUACCUAGUAGUACGGAAUAAUUGUUGGAAACGGCAACUAAUACCGUAUACGCCCUACGGGGGAAAAAUUUAUUGCUAUUAGAUGAGCCUAUAUUAGAUUAGUUAGUUGGUGAGGUAAAGGCUUACCAAGACAAUGAUCUAUAGCUGAUCUGAGAGGAUGAUCGGCCACACUGGAACUGAGAUACGGUCCAGACUCCUACGGGAGGCAGCAGUGGGGAAUAUCGGACAAUGGGCGAAAGCCUGAUCCAGCCAUGCCGCAUGAGUGAAGAAGGCCUUCGGGUUGUAAAGCUCUUUUAGUGAGGAAGAUAAUGACGGUACUCACAGAAGAAGUCCUGGCUAACUCUGUGCCAGCAGCCGCGGUAAUACGGAGAGGGCUAGCGUUAUUCGGAAUCAUUGGGCGUAAAGGGCGCGUAGGCGGGUUAAUAAGUUAAAAGUGAAAUCCCAAGGCUCAACCUUGGAACUGCUUUUAAAACUGCUAGUCUAGAGAUUGAAAGAGGAUAGAGGAAUUCCUAGUGUAGAGGUGAAAUUCGUAAAUAUUANGAGGAACACCAGUGGCGNA